GUCUACGGCCAUGCCACCCUGAACAAGCCCGAUCCCAUCUGAUCUCGGAAGCUAAGCAGGGUCGGGCCUGGUUAGUACUUGGAUGGGAGACCACCUAGGAAGACCAGGUGCUGUAGGCG
rnacentral:rRNA from 1 species